UAAGAAACAAACUCUCUCUUUCUCUCUGCUGUUUCCUCCUCUCUCUCUAUUCUACGAACUAACAAACACCAGCAUGCAUAAAAAUACAGAAAGAUGACUUUACACGGUGGGGGCACGAAGCCAAAUUGAAGGUACACUAUAUGGUGGUGAUAAUAAAGAGAUGAACACCCCUGUUUUGUUGAUGAUACACAUGGUGGCAUUGUGGCAAAAACUGCAAGAAAACCUCAUUUCUUUUUUUCAUCCUUUUCUUGUAUUAUUUUUCUAAAGCAAAAACUAUUUUGUACUCGUUUGUCCCAUAUGAACAAAUGUAACAAAUUGAAUUCAUUACUCAAUAAAAUUCUAUUAUUUUAA